CAGGGGAGCACAGGUGCAUGCAGUGUAAUGUAAUGCAAUACAAGGCACCUGAGUGACUAGAAAGGCUGGAACCAGGAUCCACCCAGACUCCAUUUAAGGGCUGGCAAUGGAGGUGAAUGUAUUUCAUCUGGAGGUCUCUGCCUAUGUGAAGGUCUUUCUGAAGAUGCUUUGUGUCCUUCUCAAUGAAAAUGCAGGAGAUGCAAAUGGACCAACACAGCUCCAGAAUGACACAGAAGCCAACGCAUCCACCAGAGAAUGGGAACCAGGGAUGUGAUCCCUGUGGCCAUCCCAGUGGAAUGAAAUGGGCAGCCACGAUGUAUCUGCAGCCACUACUUCUGAUGAUUAAAAAAAGUUAAUUAGAACUUCUGAAACAAUGAGACAUCCAGUUUUUCACGUAUGAUUCAUCCUGUGUCUGAACUAGUCUCCUGAGGGUCAUUUUCAUGGUAAAUUAGUCUUUCAAAUGUCAAGCUUAAAUUAUCAGCACUGACACCCACGACCACGGUGUCAGAGCAGU
ensembl:lncRNA